rnacentral:rRNA from 1 species
UACGAAGGGGGCUAGCGUUGUUCGGAUUUACUGGGCGUAAAGGGUGCGUAGGCGGGUCUUUUAAGUCAGGGGUGAAAUCCUGGAGCUCAACUCCAGAACUGCCUUUGAUACUGAGGAUCUUGAGUUCGGGAGAGGUGAGUGGAACUGCGAGUGUAGAGGUGAAAUUCGUAGAUAUUCGCAAGAACACCAGUGGCGAAGGCGGCUCACUGGCCCGAUACUGACGCUGAGGCACGAAAGCGUGGGGAGCAAACAGGG